rnacentral:rRNA from 1 species
GAUGAACGCUGACAGAAUGCUUAACACAUGCAAGUCAACUUGAAUUUGGGUUUUUAACUUAGGUUUGGGUGGCGGACGGGUGAGUAACGCGUAAAGAACUUGCCUCACAGCUAGGGACAACAUUUGGAAACGAAUGCUAAUACCUAAUAUUAUGAUAAUAGGGCAUCCUAUAAUUAUGAAAGCUAUAAGCGCUGUGAGAGAGCUUUGCGUCCCAUUAGCUAGUUGGAGAGGUAACGGCUCACCAAGGCGAUGAUGGGUAGCCGGCCUGAGAGGGUGAUCGGCCACAAGGGGACUGAGACACGGCCCUUACUCCUACGGGAGGCAGCAGUGGGGAAUAUUGGACAAUGGACCGAGAGUCUGAUCAAGCAAUUCUGUGUGCACGAUGAAGUUUUUCGGAAUGUAAAGUGCUUUCAGUUGGGAAGAAACAAAUGACGGUACCAACAGAAGAAGUGACGGCUAAAUACGUG